CACGUGGCUGGUGGUGCCAGGGAAGGGAGGUGCUGGCACAUCCUGGAAGGAGAUGAGGGCAGAGAGCAUUUUAUCAGCCAAUAGAUGGGGAAACCCAGGUCUGGGGCAGAUUGUGACUUGCUAGGGCCACUUCACAGGAGGAGCUGAUGGCAUAGCUGAGUGGACUUGGGUCUGGCCCUGACCUCUGUCCCUUGUGUCUUAGUAACUCUUCGUAUGAAGGAGGCAGGCUGGGCCAGAAGUGGGAAGGGUCUUUCUAGGGUCCCCUUGUGCUCUAUACUUGGGUGCCAGACUGUCCAAGAAGCAGACAGCUCUGACUUGGAGGCCCCUCCUCUGGCCUUUCUUCUUUGGUAGGCUUGAAUCCUCAGUGGGCUUUUGAUUUGGGCAGCCUUUGGUGGGUUGUGGCUGCUCACCACAAAAGUGCUGCCUGCCUUCCAUGGCACGGCUGGGCUGGUGGCCUGGAGGCACAAGUGGGGUUCUUUGAGUGUGAAGAAGGCCUUGGCCAGGUUGGUGCUGCAGCUGGAGGCCCCAUGCCAGGCCCUGGGGAGGCCUGCCUGGCCGAGUCUUUGCUCACACUCCACACACAUGUGGCCAGAGCCUCCACCCACCCCCCCUCCACGCCCCCCCCCACCUCGUACCUCGCCCGCCCUUCUGGGAAAGGCUGUGGAAUGCUGCUUGAAUCUACUGCUGGGGGAGGCCUGCUUGCAGGCACAAUGUGGAGCUCUACGAGGUCAGGAUGGAGGUGGACACAGAAUUUUGUCCCUCAGGGCUGAGUGGAGCAGGGGCCGUGGAGGUUCAGUGGGAUUCUUAGAUUGGCAGAGCACCCACUUUCGUUCACAGAGCAGGCACUCUGGAGGCAGUGCACACUGGGGAGGGAGAGGAGGCUGGUAGGCACGUGCGCCUGUUCCACUUUCCCGGAACACCUGCUUUGUCCAGGGCUUCUGGAGGUAAUUAUGAUUAGAUAACCGUUUCCAUGGAGCUCCCAGCUAGGUGGGGGCAGUGAGCCUGGUGGGCACUCUAGCUUCAGAGCUAGGCAGAUCUAGGGUGUGUCCUUCUGUGUCCCAUUGGACCCCAGCAGGCCAGUUGGAGAGGCAUUUCUGUCCAGGUGUCUGUCCAUUUAUUUGACAGAUGUGGAUCGAGCACUUACCUCAAGCUGGGCAUGGUCUUUGUUCUCUUGGGGCACAUCACUGAGAUAGGGAGAGCUUCAUGGAAGAAGUGACCCUUCCUGGGAGCCUUGAAGGCUGAGAGGAAUUAGAUAGGGAGGAGGUCAGGACAAGCCUUUGGCAUAGAGGCCCCUGUCCAGCAUUUACUUGUUACUAGGGUCAGGCAAGGAGCUGGGGUACAGGGAGGGUGGAGGAGGGGAUGGAGUAAGUUAAGGUAAUGAGUGGCUGUGCUGGUGUGUUCCUGGCCUCAGGAGUCCUGCCCAGGAGCAGCAGAGCUGUGUGGCAUGGUUGCCAGGUAGAAAAGGUAGAGGGGCCUAACCUGCACCCAGGGAGGGACAACGGGAGCUGGCUGGCCAGUACUGCUGGCCUGGCGGUAGCAGGCAGAGGAGCAGGCAGAUUGGAGAGAGGGUUAGCAGUCAGAGUGGGCAGGUGGGCUUCCUCAACUGCAGGGCUGGCAUCAUGCCCAGUACUUAGUAAGUGCCAGGAAAUGGAUGGGGACACAGUGGCCAAAUGUAGCCAGGGUUUGUUGACCCCUGCAGUGCGCCAGUGGUUUGUGAUUGCAUGGAAAUCUAGACUUCCCAUUUGUUUUAAGUUGGAAGAACUGGCAACAGUGGUGCAUGGCAGUGUUUGGCUCAAGGGGCUUUACCACUGCCUCUUGGUGUGGACUGUCCACUCGAGUUACCCUGACCCCGCAGCAUGCCUUGGACUCCUGAUGUGUGCAGCCUGGGCCCCUGGGUGCCGGCAGAAGGCCUUCCAUGUACAGGCUGGGGCACAAGGAGGCAGAGUGGCCUGUGGAGAGAAGGCCUGCUGGCAGAAGUGGGCAGGGCUGGGUGGCCUCAGAGGCCAGCCCGGGCAGCGAGGCUGUGGCACCAGGCCAUCUGCUGGUUCCCGUGAGGUCAGACUAUGCUGCUGGUGGCUGCGGGGAAGCCUGAAGCUGCCCUGCCUGUGCCUGGCCUUGAUGUCUGCUCCUUGGAUCUAGCCUUUGCUGCCAGCUGGCCACACUGUUGGCAGGUGCCACCUUGGCAGCCCCUACUGCCUACCCGCCAGCCUGGCAGCAGCCCUGACCCGAGAUGAUCUGGCUCCGUGGAGCCAGGCUAUUCCCUGAGGCCUGUUCUUCGUUUUAAGCUCCGUUAUGGGAGUUGCUCUGGCCAGGGGCUCUUAGCAGCAACCACAUCAUGUGCCUGAGGGCCCUGCUUGUCCAGGCAUGGCUUGGGGGGCCCUGAGUGCCUUUGAACCAUGCUUGUUCAGUACCUGGGAGUCCUGACUUGCAUUUGAGAGGCCCUACUUAUGCCCUGGGAUGGCUGCUGGCAUGUCUGCUAAGGGUUUAGGAGCCGAGGGACUCCAUGUGUGGCGUCUGGUGACUGGUAUGCAGUGACCCUGCCAUCACUCGCUUGCUGCUGGGGACAGGCAGUAAUAUUUGCAGCACAACCAGUUUAGAUGUAUUGUUAUCUUACCAGGGAGCCCCAGGAAGGUUUAAGCAGGGGAGAGACACCAGAUUUGAUUAGAAAGAGACACGGAACUAAUGUAGGGUGGGGAGAGGGUGUGGCUCUUUAUUAUCCACCUCCUCAGCAAGUGCUUUGGAUUGUGGGGACACCAUACCUGCCCCAGGGCUCCAGAUAUGACCUGGGACCUGUUAGUCACCCGCUAUGAGAACGGACUGCUCUCUGGUGGCUCAGUAAGGCCUGAAGUCGCCCAACCUGUGACUGGCUUCUGUGUCUGCAUAGGGCUGUGGUUGCAAACCCUGGAUCUUUGCUUUGAGCCUCUUUUGGCACCCAGGGCUUGGAAGAGCUCUCACAUGCAGGCCUGAAGCUGCCCGCACCCCCCCUGCCUAGCCCCCUGUCCCUGUAGCCAGCUGGUUUCAGUGGCUGGGAGGAAGAGCUCUCACAGAGGCCUUUCUGCCUGCUUGUUCUGCCUUGCUGCCUCCCUGCCUCCAGGCCUGCAGGAGACAUUCUCAUCCUGCUUCUGUGACCUUGGGCAAGAGAUUUGGCCUCCGAGCCUCAGUGACUGUCCCUAAGAAGCAGGGCUGCUGGUGCCUGGCUCCUGGUGCUCAUGGAGGACGCAGUGAGAUGAUGUCUGUCAGACAUCCAGCACCGCUCCUGGCAUACGGUGCACACACUGCAUGUGCCACAGUCUCUCCUCCUGUGCCCAGGGUGAGGUGUGGCAGGGCCAACGCCCUGCAUGGACUGAUGAAGUGCUGCUGGGAGAGGGCACUUUCCACUUGGGGCAGGGGUGGGAGCGGAUGAGGAGCACACCAGGUGUCUGAGUUCAGGGUCCCCAGUGGGGUCUGUGUUCUCUUGUUCCUUGUUGGCUUGAACUUGCCCCAAAGGGGAAUGCUUGGCUGUGAGCCAGUGCGAGUUGGAGCAUUCCUGCUGGGUGGGCCCAGGCUGGGCUGGGGUGCUUUUGCUUAGGCUCUGGGACCCCCUCUGGCAGGCAGAAGGCAGCUCCCCAUGGAGGCAGAGGACACUGGCUGUCAGGCUGCAGGUGGGCAGGGGUGUGGGUGAGAGAGACAGCAGCCCCUAGGUAGAUGGGAAGCCCCUGCCCCUCCUGGCCUCAGGCCUCAGGCUGGCCUCCCGUCAGCUGCCACUGCUCCUUUCCCUUCUGGUUUCUGUGCCUUUGUUCCUGCAGUUGCCUGUUCCUCAAGUUCCCUUCCCCCACUACUCUGCUCAUUGAAUUUCUUCUCAGCCUAAGAGCCACCUCCUCCAGGAAGCCUUCCUUGGCCUCUUUUGGCCUUGCCCGAGGUAUCAGUCUGUGUCAGGAGCAGCCCUCACUCAAAUACUGGACAGCUGGGUGCCUCCACAGGCUCAGAGGCUGCAAUUGAGAGGCAGCUGGAGGCAUCGAUGGUGAGGGUGGGGUGAGCCCCUCUGCAUGGGGUAGGGAUGCUCAUAGCAGGCAGAGUGGGAAGGAGGAGGGGGCUGGGGCCUGACUCCAAGCAUGGCAGUUGGACCUUGGCAGUUGCUUGAUCGCCCUGUGACUGUGGCCUUGUCUUCUCAGCCUUGUCCUCCAUCAAACAGGGCUCCUCCCACGGGAGCAGGAGGGCUACCUACUCAGCACAGGGCCAGGCACCUGGCAGCUAAGGACAGACUAACCCUGCCCAGAGAGGAGGUGGCUGUCUAGUGCUCAGGGAGGGUGGAAGUCUGGGUGUGAGGCACUCUUACCUCUCACCACUUCCUCUCUGAGCAGACUCUGCAGAUGUGGGGCAGCAUACCUGUGGCUCCCUGCUCCCCCUAGGAUUCCCCCAGACAAUUUCCUGGGUACCUUCUGGGUGUGGGGCUCAGGCUGGGCCCUGGAGAUGUGGCCCCCACCACUGCAGGGCCCUCUAGUGAGGAGAGGUGCACAAAUCCCAUCAGUGCUAUGGCCAUGGGUGCUGAGUGGGGGAUACUGGGCUUGGUUCUGGGGCAUGAGUAGGAUUAGCAGGUGGCUGUGGGAGAAGAGCAGCCUGGGAUGGAGGCAUGGCAGGAGUGAGCUCGCUGAGCAGGAAAGAGGGGCCACCAACCUGGGAGGGAGCUUGGAGUUAGUAGGAGUUGAGGGGAGGGGUUUGGACUGUACCCGGAGGGGUGAGAGCCAUGGAAGGGUGUGAAUCAGAGUCAGAUUUGUAGUUUAGAACCACCAAGGGCAGCCAUGGGGUUGAUUCCUUGGGGCUGCAGGUUGUAGAAGGGCAGGUGACUGUCAGCUGAGAAGGGUGGCGUUCCACCUCUGUCAUCACAGAAUUACUCCAAACAGAACCCAACGUAUGCCGUCCAGUGCUGAGGAUGAAAAAGCUGCUGCCACUCACAACAGGAACCAGUCUCACAAACAACUUUGAGCAAAGCAAGCUGGAGACAAGAAUGUAUGAUGUGGCCAGGUGCGGUGGCCCACGCCUGUAAUCCCAGCACGUUGGGAGGCUGAGGUGGGCGAUCAUUUGAGGUCAGGAGUUCAAGACCAGCCUGACCAACAUGGUGAAAUCCCACCUCUACUAAAACUACAAAAAAAAAAAAAAAAAGCUGGGCGUGGUGGCACAUGCCUAUAAUCCCAACUACUCAAAGCUGAGGAGGCAGGAGAAUCACUUGAACUCGGGAGGCGGAGAUUGCACCACUGUACUCCAGCUUAGGCGCAAAAAAAAAAAAAACGGGAUAUGAUGCCAUUUAUACAAAGUUUAAAAACCUUUCUAAUACAAGUCAGGGCAGUGCUGUCUUUGUUGAGGGCAGUCAUGUCUGGAAGGAACUUCCGGGGGCUUAUAAUCUGCUUGUUGGGAGCUGGUUUCGUGGGUAUGUUCUCUCUGAGAAUCUGCGAGUUCUGCACAUCUCUGUGCCAGAAACAAGCCUCGAGAUGCCCCACACUUUUGGGUGGUGCUGGGUGGAUGUCUAAGACAAAAACGAGGCACCUUUUUGGGUAUCCGGAAGCCUGAAGGAAGUCCUCAGGUGUUUACUGGGUCUUUCUGCUGACGCAGCCCGAACGGUUCUGGCCUGAUAAGCAUCACUCUUGUUUAUAAGGCAGUAACUCAUCCUGGCAGCUGCAAACAGACUUCUCUGGCUGGAGAUUGUCUUCCUGCCUCUUGCAAACCCCGGCAGGGACUGCUGGGCUGUGGGGUUUGGCAGUUCAGGGGGAGGGUGGGCUCCCGAGGCUGCCAAAGGACUAGAUCUCUAUGAACUUUGCUUUCCUCAUCUGUGAAAUGGGUUAAUAAGCUCCUUGAUGCUUGGAUGAAAUGGGUUAAUGCCUGUUAUGUGCCCAUCAUAGCCCCUGGCAUGGAGUACAGACUCAGCAAAGCCUGUCAGCAGGUUGAGAGCAGAAAGGAAGGGCUCCUGUUUCUCCCUCUGUCCCUGUAAUUGUUUCUCUUUUCUCUUCCUAUGGUUCACCUAUUCAGCAAACAUUUGUAAUUAAAAUCAGGCCACUGCCUUGGCAAGACAACUGUCCCUGCCUGGGGCCCAGAGCCAGGGAGACUUUUAGGCACAUUCAUCUCUCAGAGGAGUGCUGAGCAUAGUGGGAUAAGGGGGAAUUGCCACUCCACCUACUCUCCCCUGAACCCUGUCUUUGGGAAGGGGCGUUUGACUGUGCUCUCCCCAAAUGCCAGGAGAAAGCCUGACGUUGGGGUGCAGCAGCCCCUAAGGGUUUUUUUUUAUGUUGGCCACACCCAUCUUGGAUACAGGCAAGACUGAGGCUAGGCUCUUGGGAUGUGUCCCCAGUGUCCAACGCAGGCCUGAUGUUUAGUAAGUGCUCAGUAAAUGCAUGUGGAGUCUGAAUGAUAGAGGCAAAGAUUGGUCCAGGAUUGCUCUGUGAGUCUUCAGGGAAUCAGAUGUCUGGGGAGGAGGUAGAGACCAGUGAGUCAGGCCCUCAUGCUUCAGCCUGAUAACUUAGCCCAUGGUGGUUGGAAUCUUGGGGAACCAAUGAAGAUGGCUGGAAAAACAGGUCUGAGUCUGUGCAGGGCUGGGAGGAAAGGUGACUUUGUUGGAGCAGUUCAUGAUUAUCUCCUGGUCACCUCAGAAGGCCAGGAAGCCUUAGGGCAUACUGUAUGGAUCAGUAGGAACAGCUGGGUAGCAAAGCCAGCAAUGGUAGUGACCCCUGGCCCCUUGGACUCUGCAGAGAAUGAGGCCCUAUCCUUCCAUGAAGGUGGCACAAGAAGGCUUAGGGGCAGCCCUUAAUGGGAGCAGGGGUGUGAAGGGUGCUUAUUUAGUCAUUAGUUAUUUACUGACUUACCAUGUGCCCAGCGCCAUCCUUGGGACUGGGGAAGCAGCAGUGAGGGAAACACAGGCCCUUCCUCCAGGACCUCUGCAGUCUGGGAGGUUCCCACAGGAACCUAAGACCCAGGCCUAGAAGAGGAAGCCUGCAGUGUGUGGGGUGCCCUUGGGAUAGAGGGUAUGGGUAGAGAGGACAGCGGCAGCCCGUGACUUGAGUCUAGUCAUUCGAAGAGCCAAUCCCUGAGGAUAGGGAUCCGUUCAACCUCUCCCCUUCCUCCUUGGGUGAAUCAACCACCACCCAGGCAUGAGUCAGCCAGGACCGGCUCAGGCAUGACUAGGCCACCCGCUGGUCCCCUUCCCUAGAUGUCCCAACCAGGGUGUCCUAGCCAGAUUUAAGAUGUAAGGAAGCCAGGUGUGGUGGCUCACGCCUGUAAUCUCAGCUGCUCAGGAGGCUGAGGCAGGAGGAUCACAGGAGCCCAGGAAACAUAGACCCCUUACCUCAAAAAAAAAAAAAAAAAAAAAAAGACUUGGGGAAA